rnacentral:rRNA from 1 species
CCCUUAGAUGUUCUGGGCAGCACGCGCGCUACAAUGGUCUUCGCAAACGGAUGCAUUCUCGAAGGAGAAUGCCAAUCUUGGAAUCUAUGCCUUGGUCGGGACAGUUGCUUGCAAUUUUUCGACUCGAACCAGGAAUUCCUUGUAAUCGUGAUUCAUCACAUCACGAUGAAUACGUCCCUGCCCUUUGUACACACCGCCCGUCGCUCUUACCGAUCGAAGAGUUAGGUGAAUUGUUUUGAUCGAUAAGAUUUGACUAUGGUCAACUCUCGUUGUGAAAUUCUGUGAAUCUGACUGUUUAGAGGAAGGAAAAGUCGUAACA